AUCUGGCUGGCUCAGUUAGUAGAGCAUGUGACUCUUGAUCUUGGGAUCGUGAGUUCAAGCCCCAUGUUGGGUG
rnacentral:tRNA from 1 species